UUCUUUCCAUUUCAUAGAAGUGAGCUUGUAGUGGACAAAACAAAGAGGAAAAAAAGAAGAGAACUGUCUGAGGAACAGAAACAAGAAAUUAAAGAUGCUUUUGAACUAUUUGAUACAGACAAAGAUGAAGCAAUAGAUUAUCAUGAAUUAAAGUGGCAAUGAGAGCCUUGGGGUUUGAUGUAAAAAAAGCUGAUGUACUGAAGAUUCUUAAAGAUUAUGACAGAGAAGCCACAGGGAAAAUCACCUUUGAAGAUUUUAAUGAAGUUUGACAGACUGGAUAUUGGAAAGAGAUCCCCAUGAAGAAAUACUCAAGGCAUUUAAACUAUUUGAUGAUGAUGAUUCAGGUAAAAUAAGCUUGAGGAAUUUGCGACGUGUUGCUAGAGAAUUGGGUGAAAACAUGAGUGAUGAAGAACUUCGAGCUAUGAUAGAAGAAUUUGACAAAGAUGGUGAUGGAGAAUAAACCAAGAGGAGUUCAUUGCUAUUAUGACUGGUGACAU
rnacentral:lncRNA from 1 species